GAUGAACGCUGGCGGCGUGCCUAAUACAUGCAAGUCGAGCGAAUGGAUUAAGAGCUUGCUCUUAUGAAGUUAGCGGCGGACGGGUGAGUAACACGUGGGUAACCUGCCCAUAAGACUGGGAUAACUCCGGGAAACCGGGGCUAAUACCGGAUCACAUUUUGAACCGCAUGGUUCGAAAUUGAAAGGCGGCUUCGGCUGUCACUUAUGGAUGGACCCGCGUCGCAUUAGCUAGUUGGUGAGGUAACGGCUCACCAAGGCAACGAUGCGUAGCCGACCUGAGAGGGUGAUCGGCCACACUGAGACUGAGACACGGCCCAGACUCCUACGGGAGGCAGCAGUAGGGAAUCUUCCGCAAUGGACGAAAGUCUGACGGAGCAACGCCGCGUGAGUGAUGAAGGCUUUCGGGUCGUAAAACUCUGUUGUUAGGGAAGAACAAGUGCUAGUUGAAUAAGCUGACACCUUGACGGUACCUAACCAGAAAGCCACGGCUAACUACGUGCCAGCCGCCGCAGUAA
rnacentral:rRNA from 1 species